UACUGACUUUCUCUUUGCAUU
rnacentral:piRNA from 1 species